UGGUUCUUCAUCUGUUUUCCAAUGUGAAAACUAUGACAGCAGACAAACAAGUUGACAUCGCCUUUCUGGUCCAUAUUGUGCUCUCAACAUUGAUACAUGAUUGGAAGGAAAAUGUUUGGACCAAGCUUCACAGGAACCAGGAAAGCCUUCACUGACAUGCAGCCUAGUAUCGUCUAUGAAAAUGCUGCAGAUUACCUCAGACAUCUCAGCUCAGGAGGUGCUUUGAGUUCAGUUCACUUUAUUUCCACAGAGCAGUUCAUUGUGACCAACUCUGC